ACGGCUCCUCCGACUGUAACGAUGCCCUGCAGGGAGCGACAGUUCAACAGCUAACCCUAGGCUUGCAACUCGGUUACCUUGCGGUGCAACUGAACCCUGAAGAAAGUUCGCCUAUCGAGAGUCUCCACGAGCUGGCCCGCAGCGAAGGAACUGCCUAGCAACGUACUCGUAACCACGUGCCGUGUCAGAAACGAUCUUGCGGAGUGUGGUUCUUGCUUGAGGUCGAGACUCACGUUUUCGCCGAGAGCUGUCAAAAAACAAAGACGUUGAAUAGAACGGAGCAGGCGCUUCCGACGUCCAGCGCAGUUCCCAAACCUUCAAACGCGGAGUUCUCUGGGGCGAAGAUGGUGAAACCACGAUGAUUCUGGAACGCAUGCAGAAGGCCAGAACGGUCCAUAAUGCUUAGAAAUGUAGUCAGGUUAUAUUGCUGCAAGAUGUCCACCACAGAACGAGCUGCAUAGAGUAUGAAAGCAGAGAUGAGAGAGCGUGAUUAUGCCUGUUAUUUACAGGAACGGUCCAGAACAUCUGUAUAACGCGCAAGGACAAAGCUAUGGUUUUGGCGCUCCUUGUGCCCUCUUCAGCCGAAUCACGGAAGUUGCGGGCUUCCCGCCAAAACCGGUGAAUUCUUAUUACGUGUCAUACGGGUGACAACGCUUCCGAGUGUCCAUGCGGACAAGCUCAAUAACUAACCUGUGUGAGGGAGAAAGACUUUGUCUACAAGAUGAACAAAGCCGUUUCUUGUGAGGAUGUCUCCUUCCAAAAUUGCUGCUCCUUCAACAGAAACCGUAGAUCCGCUGCAGGAGACCUUUAUGGUAUCUCCACUUCUUGUAAGGACUUCUUCAGGUUCGUGCACGGCUGUCGCGCACCACGGCUGCUCCGACAUGUGACGCUUCAAUAAAUCUAACAGAAAGCGAGAAGACGUCAGGUGAAAGCGGUUAUUUCUUCUUUCUGUAACGAGCGUGUCUUCGCGUUGCGCUCAACAACAACAACAACAACAACAACAACUUUAUUAUGAGAUGAUGAAUGGGUAGUUUCAUCGCAAGGGGCGAUACUCUACCCCAUUGCUGGUAGAGUAUGCUGGAGUAUGGUGGAGUAUCGUGGAGCUGGUAGAGCGGACGUUGCGCUCAUACUUAUAGACCUCUACCCGAGAAACGUCAUCAUGAUGUUGGUAGACAGACUGCAACCGAAACUGGGUUCCACGGGGGGGGCACUUGUUCGCUGCCUCCUAUUGAAAAGUAAGACCGAAGGUCGCGUCCCCUUUCAGGGGCCAUCGUAAUCCCUUCAAGACCGUGGCCUUCGGGCGCGACCUUGUUUGCUAAUAGCUUGGAGCGUAGUUCAACUCUACCAAAUUGGUGGCGCUGUCGAACACGAUGACGUCAUUUGUUUACAGACAGGGAGAUGUCUAUUCGGCAGUGAAUAGGAAUUAUUUGUGUUUCUUCGGCAGUGGACCGUUUUUAUUAAUGGUCACUUUAGCAAAAAAUAAAACAUUAUUGUUAUUAUUAUUAAGAACGUAAUGAAGUAUGAAUGAUAUUGUACACACAAGAUAUGAGUAUACAAAAACACAGAACCAGAGUAAGCGUCGCCCACCACGAUAGGCAGUGCAAUAGUGCAGUGUACCACCACAGCGGCGGUGAAUCGCCCACCUCAUCAUCAUCCAAUGUUCUCUGGAAGAUUCUCCCACGCAGUGUCCACGGGGGCCCACAUGGUGUUCCAGGACGCUCCAUCGUCGUCUUGAGAUGACGGAACGGAAGCCUUUCUUCGAUGACUGUGUAGAGCAAUGGGUGGACGCCGUUCUCUUCCCCUGCACCAUGCUGGUUGGAAUCGCUCUCGAGCAGUACUGCUGUACGGGGCGCCGCUAGCACUGUCAAAGCUUUCUUGUUCUGACGAAGGACGUCUAAGAGGGCGCCACGUUUCAUAGCAGAUAGGUACUUCCCUAGGUCUGCUGUGGCCAAGGAUGUCGCGAUGUCUUCCAUCUUUCCUUGAACUGGAGGAAAGCAACAAGGUCAUCGAGCCGCAAAACUUCCCUUUCGUCCAAGGUGUAGCUAUUGGGAAUCUGUCUUUGGAGAUUACUUCCACGGGACAUACGCCAGGACUACGAAUUAAACAGAAACGAGAAACCAUUAGAUUCGUGUUAUCUACGGUGGAUAACAGGGGAGUGCCAUCGCUUUCAUCACAGCUGUUUCGAGAGCCUCGACGCGCAAAGACACUUACCCCUGAAGCUUGGCCACGUCAUACCAGGACCUGGAAUGCCCACAGGCACCGACGAAACCAACAAUCCAAGGAAAGAGAAGAUAUCCAAGGAGACUCCUGGUCAUUGUUACACAGUAACGAACUCAUGUAUCGUCGUGAGCUUAUGCAGCGUUAUGUGGAGCACCCGUAGCUGGCUAACGGUGGAACUGAGUUGAAACUAGCCCGGAUGAAGCUCUCGCGGUAGCAAUCUGCCACUCUUCAUGAGGCCUUCGUUGUUCCGCUUAACAACAAUCAUUCUUCUCCAUUGCCAGAAACAAAACGGGUGAAGGCCAGAGCGAGAUCGUUCCGAAGUGCUAUUUUUAUCAGCCCUUCUGAAAGGCUCAAUAAAAUUUGCGAACAAAAUUACACGAAAUUCACGUAUAAUGAUUG